UAAUUACGCCCUCCGUCCAACAAAAGAUGUCUCAAGUUUGUCAAAAUUUGGAUGUAUCCAGACAUAACUUAGUAUAUAGAUGCAUUCAAAUUUAGUCAAAGUUGAGACAUCCUUUGUUGGACGGAGGGAGUACUAU
rfam:Brachypodium distachyon strain Bd21 chromosome 1, whole genome shotgun sequence.